AAGGGCUUAUAAGUCCCAUUCCAUAAAAAAGAGCAGAGCACCUCGGGGAGAGGGCCUAAGAUGCUUCAGACCCUCUGAGCCCCUUUGUCUGCGUGGAACGGGUCUCUAGUCGCGGGUGGACAAAGCGUAGGAUGAGUGACAAACAGACGCACACAGGAGAGGUCGAGGAAUCUGAAUGUCAUUUUUCAAAUCGAGCAUCAGACUUUUUAUGCAGAAGACAAUAAGGAAGUUGGAUGACAUACCUGCAAGGUACAAAUGAGUUCUAGGAUGGAUUUACCAGCUCUUCUUCUCUCCUGAAGACUGUUGUCCUGCCUAUGCCCAGACCCAUCUACAUCAGAUCUGAGGAGUGAGUCUUCUAAACUAUGAAGGACAUAUUAUAAUAUUCAAUAAACAAUCUGUGGCCUCCAUAUGCACAGAAUGUGAUGCUGGGCAAACAGAGAGCUCUGAGCAAAAGUUCUAAGAAAGAAAGUCUUCUAAUGGAAGCAUCUGCAAGCCUGAUGAACUAAUUUGAACCUCAGUGACCAUGAAGAGUUUGGAAUGUUACAGGUCCAGGGUCUAUUUACAAUUCAUCUUGGGUUAUCUUUAGCUCUCUAAGUAGCCAUUCUUUCCUUAUAUUUGUGUGAACCUAACAUUCUGUGCCUAACAGAUUAAGAAGUCUUUUGGAAUGUAGUAAAUCUGUGGCUUCCACUAAUUGAAAGACUGAGUGUCAUCAGGUAGUACCUGAGCCCUACAGUCAAUACUUCUCUGCAUGUUUUCACUAAUGUACCUGAAAACUGCUUUGAUCUUUUUAGUUUCUUUGUUCUGUUACUAUAAACUAAUUCCACAUUGGAACAUGGAAUUUGACACUACACCCGUGUUCCCAGGCUAUGGUCGCUCUUAUUUGGCUCUGGAAUAAAUUGAAAUGAGAUGUGUGCUUCUGCCUCAACAUUAAAUUUUCUGGUGAUAACCAUUACCCAAAGUGGUUCACAGAAGGUUUUAUCUUGGCUGGGCAAAUCACAGUGGUGGGGGAGACAUGUCAAGGGAGACUGGAGAAGGAAGCUGAGAGAUCCCAUCUUCAACCACAUGUAGAAAGCAGAGUGUAAGGCCUGGAAGUGGGGCCAGGCUAUAAACCCCCAAAGCCCAUCCACAGUUCUGCAAGGAAAGCUUCCAUCCAUGACCUUGCCAGACAAUGCUGGUCGCUGGGGACUGAUGGUGAAGUCCAUGAGUCAGUGAGGGAACAUUUCUUGUUCAAACCAUCACACCAUAUAAAUUUGAGAGACAG
rnacentral:lncRNA from 1 species